AUGCAUUUGAGGUGUGCAGCACUUACCAUCAGAAAUACUGUGAUCCAGUCCACUGGAGCUGUGAUUGCUGAAGCUACUACUGAGUUUGCUGCUGGAGCCCACACUCAGUCUCGAGCCUCUCCAAUAGCUGGGCGUGAACACACUGGUCAGAAGGAACAGGAAGGUUAAGAUACUGUGGAGCAUGGCUGAUACAGCACUGACCUACAAAGAUAAAGGAUACAUCUGCUGCCUUCAUUGCUGCGGAAUGACACAACCUGAGCCCUCUCAAUUGGUCGAUGUGGGAAGAUACGACUGACUGGUGGCGCACUUUUCACUGGGGGUCUGGGUGGACCACAAUUCUUAGGAGUGGAACGGGCCUGUGAAGGAGUAAUUACGUUUGAAUAUAUACCUGUACAUACAUUGACUUUUAAUUUUUUAUUUGGGUUUGCUUUCCUUAGAUUUUGAUUCAAUUUCCCAUCCAAUGAUGUUGAUAACAUAUGUAAAUGAAGGGAAAACUG
rnacentral:sRNA from 1 species